rnacentral:lncRNA from 1 species
CUGGAGGUUAAAACACUCUGAUUCUCUGCAAGAGUUCAGGAGGGAAAGACGACCUCUGUGUCUCUGCAGUAUGAUGAAGGAGAUUGGCUGAGGAGGAGAUUCAAGCAACGUUGUAU